rnacentral:ncRNA from 1 species
AAAGGKUUGGUCCUGGCCUUAUAAUUAAUUGGAGGCAGAAUUACACAUGCAAAUCUCCCUUCCCCGGUGUCAAAUCCCUAAAUCUUUUAUUAAGCCCAAGGAGACGGUAUCAAGCACACAAACACAAGUAGCUAAAAACACCUUGCCCAGCCACACCCCCACGGGACCCAGCAGUGAUAAAAAUUAAGCAAUAAACGAAAGUUUGACUAAGUCAUGCCUCACUAAGGGUUGGUAAAUUUCGUGCCAGCCACCGCGGUCAUACGAUUAACCCAAACUAAUUAUUCUCGGCGUAAAACGUGUUAUAUUAAACCCAAAAGAAUAGAAUUAAAACCCAAUUAAUAUGUGAAAAUUCAUACUUGGACCUAAACUCAAUGACGAAAGUAAUUCUAGACUACCUAUACACGAUAGCUAAGACCCAAACUGGGAUUAGAUACCCCACUAUGCUUAGCCCUAAACCUAAAUAAUUAAAUAACAAAACUAUUUGCCUGAGAACUACUGGCCACAGCUUAAAACUCAAAGGACUUGGCGGUACUUUAUAUCCAUCUAGAGGAGCCUGUUCUAUAAUCGAUACACCCCGUUAUACCUCACCACCCCUUGCUAAUCCAGCCUAUAUACCGCCAUCUUCAGCAAACCUUAAAAAAGAAUAAAAGUAAGCAAGAGAAUACCCGUAAAAACGUUAGGUCAAGGUGUAGCUCAUGAGGUGGGAAGAAAUGGGCUACAUUUUCUUAUCAAGAACAUUACGCUACCCUUCAUGAAAUGGAAGGACAAAGGAGGAUUUAGUAGUAAAUUAAGAAUAGAGAGCUUAAUUGAAUAGAGCAAUGAAGUACGUACACACCGCCCGUCACCCUCUUCAAACUGAAUUGAACUUGUAACCAUACAUAAUAACAGCAACAAAUUCACAAGAAGAGAUAAGUCGUAACAAGGUAAG